rnacentral:rRNA from 1 species
UGGGGAAUUUUGGACAAUGGGCGAAAGCCUGAUCCAGCAAUGCCGCGUGUGUGAAGAAGGCCUUCGGGUUGUAAAGCACUUUUGUCCGGAAAGAAAUCCUUGGCUCUAAUACAGUCGGGGGAUGACGGUACCGGAAGAAUAAGCACCGGCUAACUACGUGCCAGCAGCCGCGGUAAUACGUAGGGUGCAAGCGUUAAUCGAAAUUACUGGGCGUAAAGCGUGCGCAGGCGGUUUGCUAAGACCGAUGUGAAAUCCCCGGGCUCAACCUGGGAACUGCAUUGGUGACUGGCAGGCUAGAGUAUGGCAGAGGGGGGUAGAAUUCCACGUGUAGCCGUGAAAUGCGUAGAGAUGUGGAGGAAUACCGAUGGCGAAGGCAGCCCCCUGGGCCAAUACUGACGCUCAUGCACGAAAGCGUGGGGAGCAAACAGGAUUAGAUACCCUGGUAGUCCACGCCCUAAACGAUGUCAACUAGUUGUUGGGGAUUCAUUUCCUUAGUAACGUAGCUAACGCGUGAAGUUGACCGCCUGGGGAGUACGGUCGCAAGAUUAAAACUUAAAUGAAUUGACGGGGUCAUAGCUGUUUCCU